AGAUUCUUGGUUAUUUAAACAUUAAGGAAACAUUUCAGUGCACCAUUCUACAAAAGUAAUGGGAAUUUCACAUCUGAAGCAAGUGGUAACAACUGAACAUCCACCAUGAAUAUCUAAGUGUUUCAGUAGAUUCAUCUUAACUGUUGUUUGGAAGGAACCAGGUUUUAUUCUGAAGUGUCUUAACACAUAACAACAAGAUGAAGACCAUUCAGCUUCAGCUCUAUGUAUUGAUCUGUUGUCAGUAUGCGGUGUCAGAUCUUCUGACUGAUCUGGGAUCAAAUGUGACCAUAAACUGUGAUCUUGAUGAAAAUGAGGUUUAUUGGAUUUUACUGAAAACAGCAGAUCCUCCAACAGUCAUCCUAC